GGUCACACCAAAUAUUGAUUUAGCUUUUUUAUGUUAACUGGACUUUGUAUGAUGUUACUUGAUAAAUGAAAACUAUUUAUGGCAUUAUUUUUGAAGACAACAUUUUUCACAAGUGCCUAAAACAUACAGCACAGUACUGUAUAUAUUUCAGCUUGGUUUAAACAUUGUUGAAAUGUGACAUGACAAAUUUGUGUUGAUAAUUGACAGUGUAAUGAUCUGACCAGUUUUUACCCAGAGGUUUAGGGAGUUUUCUGAGUAUGUACGGCAUGCUGUCACGCAGUCACUGUGGUUCUCUGCAGUUUGAGAGUCUCUUAGUCGCCGCAGGGCUUGCGUUAUCAGCCUCGGCUCAUUCCUGACUGGAGUGAGAUAGUCUAUAUCUCUCUCUCUCCUCCAUAAGGUCAGAGAUAAGAACAUACAUGUGCCAAGGUUACUGUCGGUCUCUGUAUUUCACCACCAGGUACCUCUUGGCAUACUUAUGUAAGCUGCUCUUGCGACUGCCAAACACUGCAGACCUGACGUAAUGCGUAGGGGGGUUUGAAUUUCAACAUGUGCACAUUUAACUCUAUAUGCAUGCAUGUUGUUGUGUGUGAAGCAUAUAGUGGCCCUCAAAAAGCUUUUGUACACUUACGCUACACGUAAAAAUGGCUGAAUGUCAUUGCAUUAGAUAACAAUAUCAAAUCAAGGCGCAUUGUUUUUAAUAAAGCUAGCACAAGCACAGUUUUCAAACAAAAAAUAUGACAAAAAUGUUAGAACAAUAGAUAUACUGCAAGUGUUGUAACACUUCUGGUUGUCAAACGUUAGUGGAACAGUUAAUGUGCCAACAACACUUGGCUCAGAAAAGAGAAGUUAGCUCUGUGAAAAUGUCCAGCAGCAUUUGAGCACAGCAAUUUUUAAGGGUGGCAACUAUUUAAGGAAAUCUGAUGUCCAUAUGAACAUAUAAUGCUCAAAUACAGGAAAUAUAACUACACAUGUACACUGCCAGGCCAAAAAAAAACAAAACAAGUCGCUGUUUGGAUUUAAAUAAGCAGAUACUUAAGAGCCUAUGAUUGGAUCAUUUUUGCAGUGAUUCAUAUGUUUCAGCUGGCAACAAGUCUUUUAACCCUAACUGAUGCAGUGUGUAGAUUCUCAUUUCUUAAAUAACCAUGUCGGAAGACAUAUCCCGUGGUCGUGGAAAAGAUGUUACUGUGUUUCAGAAGGGGCAAAUUAUUGGCCUGCAUCAAGCAAAGAAAACAACUAAGGAGAUUUUGCUGAAAUCACUGGAAUUGGGUUAAGAACUGUCCAACGCAUUAUUAAAACCUGGAAGGAUAGCAGUGAACCGUCAGCUUCAUGGAAGAAAUGUGGUCGAAAAAAAAAUCUUGAAUGAUCGUGAUCGACAGUACAACUCACAGCUAUGUUUAAUAGUGAAAGUAAGAGCAUUUCCAAAAGCACAAUGUGACGAGAUCUUACAGGAUUGGGACUAAACAGCUGGUGGCCACAAGAAAGCCACUUGUUAGUGAAGCUAAUCUGAAAAAACUUAAAUUUUCUAGGGAGCAUAAAGAUUGGACUGUAGAGCAAUGGAAAAAGGUCAUGUGGUCUGAUGAGUCCAGAUUUACCCUAUUCCAAAGCGAUGGGCGUGUCAGGGUAAGAAGGGAAGCGUAUGAAGCACCCGGCAUGCAUAAUGCCCACUGUACAAGCCUCUGGAUGCAGUGUUAUGAACUGGGGUUGCUUCAAUUGGUCUUACUUUCAACUGCUUUUAUUUUCAGCAGACUUAACAUGUGUAAAUAUUUGUUAGAACUUAAAAAGAUUCAACAAUUAAGACAUAAACUGAACAAGUUUCACAGACAUGUGACUAACAGAAAUGGAAUAAUGUGUCCCUGAACAAAGGGAGGGUCAAAAUCAAAAGUAACAGUCAGUAUCUGGUGUGGCCACCAGCUGCAUUAAGUACUGCAGUGCAUCUCCUCCUCAUGGACUGCCAGAUUUGCCAAUUCUUGCUGUGAGAUGUUACCCCACUCUUCCACCAAGGCACUUGCAAGUUCCCGGACAUUUCUGGGGGGAAUGGCCCUAGCCCUCACCCUCCGAUCCAACAGGUCCCAGACGUGCUCAAUGGGAUUGAGAUCCAGGCUCUUCGCUGGCCAUGGCAGAACACAGACAUUCCUGUCUUGCAGGAAAUCACGCACAGAAUGAGCAGUAUGGCUGGUGGCAUUGUCAUGCUGGAGGGGUCAUGUCAGGAUGAGCCUGCAGGAAGGGUACCACAUGAGGGAGGAGGAUGUCUUCCCUGUAACGCACAGCGUUGAGAUUUCCUGCAAUGACAACAAGCUCAGUCGGAUGAUGCUGUGACACACCGCCCCAGACCAUGACAGACCCUCCACCUCCAAAUCGAUCCCGCUGCAGACAGAGUACAGGCCUCGGUGUAACGCUCAUUCCUUCGACGAUAAAUGCGAGUCCAACCAUCACCCCUGGUUAGACAAAACCAUGACUCAUCAGUGAAGAGCACUUUUUGCCAGUCCUGUCUGGUCCAGCGAAGGUGGGUUUGUGCCCAUAGGCGACGUUGUUGCCGGUGAUGUCUGGUAAGGACCUGCCUUACAACAGGCCUACAAGCCCUCAGUCCAGCCUCUCUCAGCCUACUGUGGACAGUCUGAGCACUGAUGGAGGGAUUGUGCAUUGCUGGUGUAACUCGGGCAGUUGUUGUUGCCAUCCAGUACCUGUCCCGAAGGUGUGAUAUUCAGAUGUACCGAUCCUGUGCAGGUGUUGUUACACGUGGUCUGCCACUGUGGGGACGAUCAGCUGUCCUUCCUGUCUCCCUGUAGUGCUGUCUUAGGCGUCUCACAGUACGGACAUUGCAAUUUAUUGCCCAUCUGCAGUCCUCAUGCCUCCAUGCAGCAUGCCUAAGGCACGUUCACGCAGAUGAGCAGGGACCCUGGGCAUCUUUCUUUUGGUGUUUUUCAGAGUCAGUAGAAAGGUCUCUUUAGUGUCCUAAGUUUUUAUAACUGUGACCUUAAUUGCCUACCGUCUGUAAGCUGUUAGUGUCUUAACGACCGUUCCCCGAUGUUCAUUAAUUGUUUAUGGUUCAUUAAACAAGCAUGGAAAACAUUGUUUAAACCCUUUACAAUAAAGAUCUGUAAAGUUAUUUGGAUUUUUACAAAAUUAUCUUAUUAUAAAGUUUUCUGUCCUGAAAAAGUGACGUUUCUUUUUUUGCUGAGUUUAUAAGGUUGUCGAAACAAUGCCACAAUGAAUGCGUGCCGUAAUCAAAGCUAAAGGUGGUCCAACCAAAUAUUAGAGUAUGCAAAUUUGUUUUUGGCCAGGCAGUGUACAGUUUAUAUGCGUUAUGCUUAUAUUGCCAUAGAUCAGAUUUCUGUAUGGGAAAUGAUUCAUUCUUUUUUUUUCUCUCCCCUUUUCUCCCCAAUUUGGCAUGCACAAUUCCCAAUGCGCUCUAAGUCCUCUUGGUGGCAUAGUAACUUGCCUCAAUCCGGGUGGCGGAGGACGAAUCUCAGUUGCCUCCGUGUUCGAGACAUCAAUCCGCGCAUCUUAUCACGUGGCUUGUUGAGCGUGUUACCACAGAGACGUAGCACGUGUGGAGGCUUCACGCUAUUCUCCGCGGCAUCCACGCACAACUCACCACGCGCCCCACCGAGAGUGAGAACCACAUUAUAGUGACCACGAGGAGUUUACCCCAUGUGACUCUACCCUCCCUAGCAACCGGGCCAAUUUGGUUGCUUAGGAGACCUAGCUGGAGUCACGCCCUGGAUUUGAACUCGCAACUCCAGACGGUGUAAUCUUUACAGUAUCUCCUCAUGAAGGCAGACAGUAACCGUUCGCUUUUCACUGUUAACACGGGGUCACAGACUGCAUUCCCCAAAUGUUUUCAAACUACCCAAAAGGAUCUGCUUCUCCGGAAAAGACCCCAGUAAUCUGACACGUGUCUCCUCUCGAGUUUCAGAAGAGAUCUCCACAAUGUCUCAAACUGUGGUCAGAUUUACUAAGACAAUAACAUUUACAAUUAAAAGUCAGAUAUUUCAAAAUGACUUCAUGACUGUGGCACAUCCAAUGCAGCAAUUUUAAUACUAAGGAUUAGGUGUUUGUUCAAAUCCAAGUGUGAGCAAAUAAUGGUAGUGACUGACUUUGCAAACUAAUUAGAGUCAAAGGGAAGUCUUAGGAUGUUGGUACAAUCAUCAGCCAGUAGAUGGCGCAAUUGCUUUGAAAAAGCUUAUUGAAACUCGCAUGAAUUCCCCUUAGGAUUGUCAGGCUGAAGACUGAUCAGAGUUUGCAUGGGUCUGUCCAGUACAAUUCACCACGUGCUGAUAUAUCUAGUUACUCAGACUCACAGAGAGUGUGUGUGUAAAGAUUGCACACAUUGUUUGGAGAGUGUAGAGUGAGUUAAUGAGGAUAUGUUUCUAUAAAGGGUUUAUCUCAGUCUUUUGUCUUCAUGAUCUCUCAGUGGAUCUUUUAACCUGCGCUGGCCCUCUUAACCUACACCUGACAUUUGACCCACAGACGCCAGUGUGAGAGAGAGAGAGAGAGAGAGAGAGAGAGAGAGAGAGAGAGAGAGAGAGAGAGAGAGAGAGAGAGACUGAGACUGAGACUGAGACUGCAUUGUCCCUGACAUCAAGGAGGUCAAUAAUACCUGGAGUUCUCAUCUGUUAGCAUUCACAUCCAUUUCAAUGGCAGUAACUCGGCUGGCACAUUCAGACCUAGAUGUACACAACCUGCAUACUGCUAAUUUUUUGAGCCGAUCACCUAAGCCAUAAAUAUUCUGUGACUAAUCACUCUGGAGACACAGGAAAAUGAGGCCAUGAUGACACUGAUUGGCUGUUGGCACCACAAGAGCGUAUAGUGAAUUUUUGUCUUAUUUUCUGGUAAAAUAUCUGAACUCCCUUAAACAUUCUUAAAACAAACAAAAAAAAAACAUUGUGAAGCAGAAUGACAUAAGAUAUUAAGUCUUGUUUUCAGACAAAUCUAACAACAUUUAGUGGGGUAAAUAAAGAAAAUAAAAUAAACAAAAAAGAAAACAGUGUGUUAACAACACAUCUACUAUAACAAUAAUAUAUUUGUGAUUUAUAUCUUGCUUGCAAAAUUUUUUUUUAAAAAAAUGUCAGAAUACAUGGCUACUUUUCAGUGCUUCACGAUGGAUCAAAUAUAUCUUUCAAAGUUCAAGACACAAUCAUUCACACACACACACACAAUCUAUGUUUUCUCAUAUGUCAAAAUGUCAAAUGUUAAUGAGUGGAUUGUCUCUCUCCACGUGGAAUGUGAAUGGGUUGGAGCACCCCUCUUAAAUGUAAGAAAUAUGAUAUAGUGUUUCUUCUAGAAACAUAUCUUUCCCCGCAGGUAGCUGAAACAUUUGGGAGGAUAUGGGGUGGACAUGUUUUAUUUAGUGCUGGCUCAAGUAAGAGUAGGGGAGUCAUUACAUUGAUAAGUAAACAUCUACAAUUCAAAUAUCUCAAACAGAUUAAAGAUCAAUUAGGGAGAGUCAUUAUUGUUUUAGCAGAAAUUCAGGGGCAAAGGUUGAUUUUGGCUACUAUUUACGCACCUAACGCUGAUGAUCAGGGCUUUUUUAUAGAUCUUGAAGGGAUGUUGCAAGCCGCUGGCACCCCUCAUGAUAUAAUAUUGGGAGGAGACUUUAAUCUUUUGAUGGAUUCAGUCCUUGAUCAUAGUGAAGCAAAAGUGUGUAAGCUCCCUAGGGCAACAAUAAAAAUAUUGGUCUUAUGGAUAUUUGGAGACUUUUGAACCCAUCUGGUAGGGACUAUACAGUUUUUUUUUUUCAAUAGUCUAUAAGAUUUAUGCUAGAAUAGAUUUUUUAUAUAUAUCCAAGACCCUCAUUUCAUCUGUUGUUGAUUGCUCAAUUGGAAAUGUUAGUCUCAAAUCAUGCCGUGGUGAGUUUAGAGGUGUUGCCACAUAUGGAGAAAAAUAAAUCAUAUAGUUGGUGCUUUAAUGUGUCCCUUUUGCAAAAUCCUGAUUUCCAACAAAUGUUGAAGACUGAAAUCAAUGUUUAUAUGGAGACCAACUGGUCCUCAGUAUCCUCUGUGGGCGUGGCUUGGGAGGCACUUAAGGCGGUUCUUAGGGGUCGGAUCAUACAGUAUGCCUCAUUCACCAAAAAAUCCAAAGCACGAGAACUCGUGGAAUUGGAAGGGAAUAUUAAAAGUGCCGAGGCAGAGCUGAAAUGCCGAAUGUCGUCUAACGUCCUCAGAGAAUUGAUCCAACUGAAAUACAGAUAUAAUACUAUUUUGUCACGGAAAGUAAAGUUUUGGUUAUUCAGGGCAAGACAGUCAUAUUCUGAGUCGGGGGACAAAGCAGGAAAACAUCUGGCUAGAUAUAUAAAGCAGAGAGAGUCUUUUUCUACCAUUCCCCAGUGAAAUCUGCUGGUGGUGAAGAAAAUAGUUCACACAUAUGAUUCCACUCGUGUGCUGUACUCCAAGUUAAAUCGUUUGCAUUUUUAAUGCAACUAAAUAAAUAAAUAACUCUUUGA